UGGGGAAUAUUGGACAAUGGGGGCAACCCUGAUCCAGCAAUGCCGCGUGAGUGAAGAAGGCCUUAGGGUUGUAAAGCUCUUUCGCUCGUGACGAUGAUGACGGUAACGAGAGAAGAAGCCCCGGCUAAUUCCGUGCCAGCAGCCGCGGUAAUACGGAAGGGGCUAGCGUUGUUCGGAUUUACUGGGCGUAAAGCGCAUGUAGGCGGCGGAUCAAGUGAGGCGUGAAAGGCCUGGGCUCAACCUGGGAACGGCGCUUCAGACUGAUUGGCUAGAGUUCGGGAGAGGGUGGUGGAAUUUCCAGUGUAGAGGUGAAAUUCGUAGAUAUUGGAAGGAACACCGGUGGCGAAGGCGGCCACCUGGCCCGAAACUGACGCUCAAGUGCGAAAGCGUGGGGAGCAAACAGG
rnacentral:rRNA from 1 species